rnacentral:rRNA from 1 species
ACCUGGUUGAUUCUGCCAGUAGUCAUAUGCUUGUCUCAAAGAUUAAGCCAUGCAUGUCUAAGUAUAAGCAAUUAUACCGUGAAACUGCGAAUGGCUCAUUAAAUCAGUUAUCGUUUAUUUGAUAAUACCUUACUACUUGGAUAACCGUGGUAAUUCUAGAGCUAAUACAUGCUGAAAAUCCCGACUUCGGAAGGGAUGUGUUUAUUAGAUAAAAAACCAAUGCCCUUCGGGCUCCUUGGUGAUUCAUAAUAACUUUACGGAUCGCAUAGCCUUGCGCUGGCGACGGUUCAUUCAAAUUUCUGCCCUAUCAACUUUCGAUGGUAAGGUAUUGGCUUACCAUGGUUUCAACGGGUAACGGGGAAUUAGGGUUCGAUUCCGGAGAGGGAGCCUGAGAAACGGCUACCACAUCCAAGGAAGGCAGCAGGCGCGCAAAUUACCCAAUCCCGAUUCGGGGAGGUAGUGACAAUAAAUACUGAUACAGGGCUCUUUUGGGUCUUGUAAUUGGAAUGAGUACAAUUUAAACCUCUUAACGAGGAACAAUUGGAGGGCAAGUCUGGUGCCAGCAGCCGCGGUAAUUCCAGCUCCAAUAGCGUAUAUUAAAGUUGUUGCAGUUAAAAAGCUCGUAGUUGAAACUUGGGUCUGGCUGGCGGGUCCGCCUCACCGCGUGCACUCGUCCGGCCGGGCCUUCCUUCUGAAGAACCUCAUGCCCUUUACUGGGCGUGUUGGGGAAUCAGGACUUUUACUUUGAAAAAAUUAGAGUGUUCAAAGCAGGCCUUUGCUCGAAUACGUUAGCAUGGAAUAAUAAAAUAGGGCGUGCGUUUCUAUUUUGUUGGUUUCUAGAGACGCCGCAAUGAUUAACAGGAACAGUCGGGGGCAUCAGUAUUCAGUUGUCAGAGGUGAAAUUCUUGGAUUUACUGAAGACUAACUACUGCGAAAGCAUUUGCCAAGGAUGUUUUCAUUAAUCAGUGAACGAAAGUUAGGGGAUCGAAGACGAUCAGAUACCGUCGUAGUCUUAACCGUAAACUAUGCCGACUAGGGAUCGGGCGAUGUUCUUUUUCUGACUCGCUCGGCACCUUACGAGAAAUCAAAGUUUUUGGUUCUGGGGGAUUAUGGUCGCAAGGCUGAAACUUAAAGAAAUUGACGGAAGGUCACCACCAGGCGUGGAGCCUGCGGCUUAAUUUGACUCAACACGGGAAACUCACCAGGUUCAGAUGAAAUAAGGAUUGACAGAUUGAGAGCUCUUUCUUGAUUUUUCAGGUGGUGGUGCAUGGCCGUUCUUAGUUCGUGGGGUGACUUGUCUGCUUAAUUGCGAUAACGAGCGAGACCUUACUCUGCUAAAUAGCCAGGCUAGCUUUGGCUGGUCGCCGGCUUCUUAGAGAGACUAUCAACUCAAGUUGAUGGAAGUUUGAGGCAAUAACAGGUCUGUGAUGCCCUUAGAUAUUCUGGGCCGCACGCGCGCUACACUGACAGAGCCAACGAGUUCUUUCCCUUGGCCGAAAGGUCUGGGUAAUCUUGUUAAACUCUGUCGUGCUGGGGAUAAAGCAUUGCAAUUAUUGCUUUUCAACGAGGAAUGCCUAGUAAGCGCGUGUCAUCAGCAUGCGUUGAUUACGUCCCUGACCUUUGUACACACCGCCCGUCGCUACUACCGAUUGAAUGGCUCAGUGAGGCCUUCGGACUGGCUCGGGGAGGUUGGCAACGACCACCCCAAGCCGGAAAGUUGGUCAAACUCGGUCAUUUAGAGGAAGUAAAAGUCGUAACAAGGUCUCCGUAGGUGAACCUGCGGAGGGAUCAUUA